UACGUAGGGACCAAGCGUUGUUCGGAUUUACUGGGCGUAAAGGGCGCGUAGGCGGCUUAACAAGUCACUUGUGAAAUCUCCGGGCUUAACUCGGAACGGCCAAGUGAAACUGUCAAGCUAGAGUGCAGAAGGGGCAAUCGGAAUUCUUGGUGUAGCGGUGAAAUGCGUAGAUAUCAAGAGGAAAACCGGUGGCGAAGGCGGCAUCCUGGACCGAGAUUGACGCUGAUGCGCGAAAGCCAGGGGAGCAAACGGG
rnacentral:rRNA from 1 species